rnacentral:rRNA from 1 species
UCUGAAAUCAGGUGGAUUUACCC